CUUUACUGUAGCUUGGAAUUGGGUUCGGGCUUUGCUUGCGCAGGAUAGGUGGGAGACUAUGAAGUUGCUCUUGUGGGAGUAAUGGAGUCAACGGUGAGAUACCACUCUGGUGAGGCUAGAAUUCUAACUUGUUCCCGUCAUCCGGGAGAAGGACAAUUUCAGGUGGGCAGUUUGACUGGGGCGGUCGCCUCCUAAAAGGUAACGGAGGCGCGCAAAGGUGUUCUCAGGCUGGUUGGAAAUCAGCCGUAGAGUGUAAAGGCAGAAGGAAGCUUGACUGUGAGACUGACAAGUCAAACAGGGACGAAAGUCGGCUUUAGUGAUCCGACGGCACUGAGUGGAAGGGCCGUCGCUCAACGGAUAAAAGUUG
rnacentral:rRNA from 1 species